rnacentral:rRNA from 1 species
AUUGAACGCUGGCGGCAGGCCUAACACAUGCAAGUCGAACGAGUGGCGGACGGGUGAGUAAUGUCUGGGAAACUGUCCGAUGGAGGGGGAUAACUACUGGAAACGGUAGCUAAUACCGCAUACCAUCGGAUGUGCCCAGAUGGGAUUGGCUAGGAGGUGGGGUAACGGCUCACCUAGGCGACGCUCCCUACCUGGUCUGAGAGGAUGACCUGCAACACUGGAACUGAGACACGGUCCAGACUCCUACGGGCGGUAGCAGUGGUGAAUAUUGCACAGUGGGCGCAAGCCUGAUGCGGCGAGGCCGCGUGUAUGAAGAAGGCCUUCGGGUUGUAAAGUACUGUCAGCGAGGAGGCGUUACUCGCAGAAGAAGCACCGGCUAACUCCGUGCCAGCAGCCGCGGUAAUAC